GACGAACGCUGGCGGCAUGCCUAAUACAUGCAAGUCGAGCGGGAGUUCUUUUGGAAGCUUGCUUUCAAAAGAACUUAGCGGCGGACGGGUGAGUAACACGUAGGCAACCUACCCUUUAGGCUGGGAUAACUACCGGAAACGGUAGCUAAUACCGGAUAAUUCCUGUUCUCACCUGAGAAAAGGAUGAAAGGCGGAGCAAUCUGUCACUAAGGGAUGGGCCUGCGGCGCAUUAGCUAGUUGGUGAGGUAACGGCUCACCAAGGCGACGAUGCGUAGCCGACCUGAGAGGGUGAACGGCCACACUGGGACUGAGACACGGCCCAGACUCCUACGGGAGGCAGCAGU
rnacentral:rRNA from 1 species